AGCAGCCGCGGUAAUUCCAGCUCCAAUAGCGUAUAUUAAAGUUGCUGCAGUUAAAAAGCUCGUAGUUGAAUUUCGGGACUAAUAUGUCGGUCGUGCCUCGGUACGUACUGGCUUAUUGGUUUCUCCUUUCUGAAGAACCAUGAUGUCAUUUAUUUGGUGUCGUGGGGAAUCAGGACUGUUACUUUGAAAAAAUUAGAGUGUUUAAAGCAGGCUCACGCUUGAAUACAUUAGCAUGGAAUAAUGAAAUAGGACGUUUGAUUCUAUUUUGUUGGUUUCUAGGAUCGACGUAAUGAUUAAUAGGGAUAGUUGGGGGCAUUAGUAUUCAAUUGUCAGAGGUGAAAUUCUUGGAUUUAUUGAAGACUAACUACUGCGAAAGCAUUUGCCAAGGAUGUUUUCAUUAAUCAAGACGAAAGUUAGGGGAUCGAAGACGAUCAGAUACCGUCGUAGUCUUAACCAUAAACUAUGCCGACUAGGGAUCGGAUGAUGUAAUUUUUUAAUGACUCAUUCGGCGCC
rnacentral:rRNA from 1 species